UACGGAGGGAGCUAGCGUUGUUCGGAAUUACUGGGCGUAAAGCGCGCGUAGGCGGCUUUGUAAGUUAGAGGUGAAAGCCCGGAGCUCAACUCCGGAACUGCCUUUAAGACUGCAUCGCUUGAAUCCAGGAGAGGUGAGUGGAAUUCCGAGUGUAGAGGUGAAAUUCGUAGAUAUUCGCAAGAACACCAGUGGCGAAGGCGGCUCACUGGCCCGGUACUGACGCUGAGGCACGAAAGCGUGGGGAGCAAACAGG
rnacentral:rRNA from 1 species